CUUAGUGGCGGACGGGUGAGUAACGCGUGGGUAACCUGCCCUAUACAGGGGGAUAACACUUAGAAAUAGGUGCUAAUACCGCAUAAGCGCACGGGGCUGCAUGGCCCAGUGUGAAAAACUCCGGUGGUAUAAGAUGGACCCGCGUCUGAUUAGCUGGUUGGCGGGGUAAAGGCCCACCAAGGCGACGAUCAGUAGCCGGCCUGAGAGGGUGGACGGCCACAUUGGGACUGAGACACGGCCCAAACUCCUACGGAAGGCAGCAG
rnacentral:rRNA from 1 species